rnacentral:rRNA from 1 species
UACGAAGGGGGCUAGCGUUGUCCGGAUUUAUUGGGCGUAAAGAGCGUGUAGGCGGUUUGGUAGGUCCGCUGUGAAAACUCGAGGCUCAACCUCGAGACGCCGGUGGAAACCAUCAGACUAGAGUCCGGAAGAGGAGAGUGGAAUUCCUGGUGUAGCGGUGAAAUGCGCAGAUAUCAGGAGGAACACCGGUGGGCGAAGGCGGUUCUCCUGGGCCUU